GAGUCUUCUUUUAGGUUUCUUCGUAUAGUCCCGGAGAUUGGUCCGGGGGUUUCUACCAGGUGACCGGAAUCACCUUGGCUACGAAGGGUUAUUUCCUUUGU
rnacentral:ncRNA from 2 species